rnacentral:lncRNA from 1 species
AGUGUGGAUUUAGACCGGUGUCACAUCGUGUACCGCGCUGUGCAGACAUUUGCAUGCGGGUGAGAGCACCUGUGACAGCCUGAGCUUUCUGCUGAGGGAGCAGAAGCCUGUACAAGCCCUUCGAGGGACUCACCCCGUCACUGAAUCCUGCCUCUGAAUACUGAAGAGCAGCAUAGUGUUAUAUCCUUCAUAAACAGAGUUUGGAAGGGAUUUAAUCUACAGUAAUGAGCAGUAAAAAAAAAAAAAAAGAAGAAUAAAAGAAAAGAAAAGCACAUUAGUCUUCUUUUACGAGGACUGUAUCAAUACAAGAAAUUACUGUGUGGUGGAAACAGUCUAUUAAAUAGCUGUUCACUGUUUUUUCCCAGGAGCUGCUUGACAUUUUGCUGGAGGUGAGAUGAGGAGCUCCGAUUUGACCGUCUGGUAGUGUCUCUGUUACUUUUUUGCCUUGAUGCUCUCAUACCUUCAGGCAAAUUGGCUGAAUUUGGUGCUUCAUUUGCUUCACAAUAAUAAUGGAAUGUGCUACAGCACAACUUUGUGUGCCAUGGGGACCUGCACCAGGCAGACAAACCUGCUGACUGAGACACAGCUGGACACAGAUCUAUUCCUGAAGAAAAGGCUGAAGAAGAUAAAAUCAUCAUGGCAGCAUAGAGGUAUCUGAGGCUCCAGGGAACACAAACAAGUUGCUGGGUAAAGCCAGUUACCAUCAACAGCUGAGCAGGUAAUUCACAAACCAUAGCUUUGAUUAAGUGCACCCUUUUCCCAGCCACAGAGAAAUUGUUAAAGCUCUUGGAAGUUCCCUAAUUGCUUCUAGUAAUUACAAAUGGAAUCCUUUAUGCAGAAGAGCAGAGAAAGAACUGUGCAUCUAUGAAAUGCCCUGAAGCCCUGGAAACAGAGGAUGUCACAGCAAUCAAGGUAUUUCAGAGACUUUGAGGACCUUGUAACUGCAUGGAUUCCACCUACUCUUGAAGUCUUGCCUUCUGCAGUCAAGAGAAAAAGGCAGAACUAUGCUUAUCUCCUGUCUCUAAAGGGAGGAGCCUGGCACCAGGAAGCUUCAUGCCGAGUACAUGAGCAACAAGGCUGGGAGAUGUGAAUUGUGUCAUUGCUUUCUUCAUAAAGAUUAAAUGUCACCUGUGCUUGUCCCCUCCAUGCAUGGAGCAUGUAGGGACAUUGAGACACACGAAGCUCAUAGCUACUGCAGAGCCAAUGUCUCUGUGUAAGUGAUAUCCACAUUCCUGAUCACCCAGCCAUUCCUACACGUUGGCUUCCAGUCUGGUUGUACUCCAGAGCCAGCAAACUUCAGGCACUGCAAGAACCAGCUCACACAUGGGUAUGGAUUUAGCCUGAGAUAGUCAGGGAACCCACAUCACCAUAGUAACUGCAUGCUGUUGCAUUAAUUCCAGCAAAUAAAUGGAGCUUGUAAGUCA